AAGUCGUAACAAGGUUUCCGUAGGUGAACCUGCGGAAGGAUCAUUAAUGAGUUAGGGUCUUUCAGGCCCGAUCUCCAACCCUUUGUAUAACUACCACGUUGCUUUGGCGGGCCCGUCUUUAAUCGGACCGCCGGGAGUUUUGUAACUCUUGGCCAGUGCUCGUCAAUAGCCCUUAACAAACUCUUUUAACCAUGUUAAAUCUGAAAAUAUUUAAAUAAACUAAAACUUUCAACAACGGAUCUCUUGGUUCUG
rnacentral:misc_RNA from 1 species